GAUGAAGAACGUAGUGAAAUGCGAUAAGUAAUGUGAAUUGCAGAAUUCAGUGAAUCAUCGAAUCUUUGAACGCACAUUGCGCCCAUUAGUAUUCUAGUGGGCAUGCCUGUUCGAGCGUCAUUUCAACCCUUAAGCCUAGCUUAGUAUUGGGAAUCGACUUUACUGUCGUUCCUCAAAUUCAACGGCGGAUUUAUAGCAAUCUCUGAACGUAGUAAUUUUUUUUCUCGUUUUUGAAAUACUAUAAACCUCAGCCGCUAAACCCCCAAUUUCUUAUGGUUGACCUCGGAUCAGGUAGGAAUACCCGCUGAACUUAAGCAUAUCAAUAAGCGGAGGA
rnacentral:misc_RNA from 1 species